AAAACACCGCUCAGGCCCCGGGCGCGUCGUGUGCGUUAUACACCCGUGUCAUCGCGGGGAAGCCGGCGGGGCCCGCGCCGCCGCCGCCUCGAGCUUGCAGCCGUGUGGAGAGUCGGUGUGAGGGGGUCGGCGCCCGGGGGCGAGUGUCUGCGUCACAUGAGGGCCUCCACUUACGACACAUGCAGAGAACUCUGUGGCCCCAAAGCAGAGCUCUGCACUGGCAUUCAGGAGAUCUCGGUUCCAAGUCACAUCUCUGCUAACAGCUUGCUGGGAAUCACUCUGCUGACUGCAUCGCCUGCGUAUGCAACCUGGAAGGUCAAAAACAAACAUGAUGGGACAAAUGGGACAUGAAUAUAUGCGAGUACUCUGAAGUGCAGACUAUGGAGCACCUGCUCGUUUGCUGACUGCUUGGUGAGACACCUUGGUGUACGAAGGAGGACCUUGCUGCAGCAAUAGAAAGAGACAUCACUUAUGCAUGAUACUGGAAAAAUAUUUAGUUUAUGGCAAGCGAGAAGAUGAACUCUGCUGGCUUCUAUGCUGGUGUAAGUUCAACACUUACCUCUGGAUCAUGCCCAGGCAGGAGUCAGAAUAAGAUCAUCUCAUGCAAAGAAUGAUGGCAGCUAAAAUUGUUCUAAGACCGGAUCCAGGGCUAACACAAAUGGAAAUAAUGCCAUUGACUUCUAAGUGAUUUAAGGGCUGAAGACCCUGUGAGGACACCUGCCUUGUCAGGACCUACUUAAUAAAAUAGCUGUACAAAGCACAAAGGUACAUUUCCCCCGAAGUUUUCUUAACUCUAUUUGCCUGGAACUGACAUGGAUUCAGACUGAUUCUAAAAAAGGCAUAUUUGUUUGAACGGCAGUAAUCAAAUAAACCUAAUACCUAGUAAUCCAUGUCCCUAUAUGGUAAUAGGGGAACACGGUGCUGCUUAACUGCAGUCUUUCAGG